GUGAUAGUAGCAAGAGCAGUCUGCGGGUUUCUUCUUUUUUCUCAUUUUGUAAAAAAUGUCAUCCUGAUGUGUGACGAUUUCAACGUUAUAACAACAACUACUGUACUGUCUUGUCUUCUCCAGCCUGUCCUGGUGACUGGGCUCCAUAAGCCUCUGAAUGCAGCUCUGUGGAAGGCGGACAGCUUCAACCUGGAGUUUGCUGACCAUCAGGGAGACCUGCUGAACUGUAAAGAUGGACUUGUCUCGAACUCUGGAAUCAACGAGUUCUGGGACGGCUUCGAGGACCUCACCAAGAGACCCAAGUCUAAAGACGGAGACACCGUGGUGUACAGGCUGAAGGACUGGCCAUCAGGAGAGGAGUUCAUGGCCCUGAUGCCUUCCAGGUAUGAUGACCUGAUGAGGAAUCUGCCCCCUGCCUGAGUAUUGUGACCCUGAAGGGAACCUCAACCUGGCCUCUCAUCUACCCAGCUUCUUCGCACCCCAGACCUCGGACCACGCCUCUGCUGUGCUUAUGGAGUGGCAGCGUCUCAGGAGCAGGACUUUGGGACAGCUAACCUUCACAGGGAGGUCUCUGACAUCGUCUCUGUCCUGGUGUACGUAGGAGUGGCCAAGGGGAACGGAGUCCUGUCCAAGACGGGAGUGUUGAAGAGACUGGAGGAGGAAGACUUGGACGACAGCGUGAAGAAGAGAUUAAAGGAUUCCAGCGAGACGCCUGGAGCCUUGUGGCACAUCUACAUUAGCAAAGAUGUAGAGAAAAUUAAAGACUUUCUGCACAAGGUUGCUAAGGAGCAGGUAG